rnacentral:rRNA from 1 species
AUUGAACGCUGGCGGCAGGCCUAACACAUGCAAGUCGAGCGAGUGGCGGACGGGUGAGUAAUGUCUGGGAAACUGUCCGCUGGAGGGGGAUAACUACUGGAAACGGUAGCUAAUACCGCAUACCAUCAGAUGUGCCCAGAUGGGAUUAGCUAGUUGGUGGGGUAACGGCUCACCUAGGCGACGAUCCCUAGCUGGUCGGAGAGGAUGACCAGCAACGCUGGAACUGAGACAAGGUCCAGACUCCUAAGGGAGGCAGCAGUGGGGAUUAUUGCACAGUGGGCGCAAGCCUGAUGCAGCCAUGCCGCGUGUAUGAGGAAGGCCUUCGGGUUGUAAAGUACUUUCAGCGGGGAGGCGUUACCUGCAGAAGAAGCACCGGCUAACUCCGUGCCAGCAGCCGCGGUAAUUC